UACGAAGGGUGCAAACGUUGCUCGGAAUCAUUGGGCGUAAAGCGCACGUAGGCGGCUUGCCAAGUCGGACGUGAAAUCCCUCAGCUCAACUGAGGACGUGCAUCCGAAACUGGCGAGCUUGAGUACUGAAGAGGAUCGCGGAAUUCCCGGUGAGAGGUGAAAUUCGUAGAUAUCGGGAGGAACACCAGGUGGCGAAGGCGGACGAU
rnacentral:rRNA from 1 species